AUGGCAUUUAGAGCCGCUGAUGAAUCUCGACAUUAACCAGAGAAAUGAGGCUGAUACUGCACACACAGACACAAAAAGACAGAAGAGGACUUCUCCGUGUUCUUUUAGAAAGUUGUCCCGGGGGUUAUCCUGCAUAUGUGGCCAGCACCUGGGACACUUUGUGACCUCAUAGAAUGAGAGGAGAGAUCUGGCAUUCAUUCAACAACAAAUAUUUCUUUAGAUUACUAUAGUCCAGGCACAGGUCUAGGGGCUGAGUCCCCAGUGGUGAAUAAGAACAGGUUAGCUCCUUUUCUCGUGGCGUAUGUAUGACAUUUAGGGAGAAGGUGAGUGAGCCAUCAAAUAAGCAGAUGUGCAAGUUCAGACGUGGUGAAUCCUAGGACGGAGAGGAAACAGGGCAGUGGGACAGUGAGUACUGGAAAGGCAGGCUGGUCUGUGAGGGCUUCUCCGAGGAGGGCCUGUUUCUCUGAAUGCUGAUUUGCGUCAUGGGGCGGGUUGGCGAGAAUAUUCUAGGCAGAGGGCAGAGUGAGCACAAAUCCAGGAGAUGGUGAAGAGCCCGCUGUGUGCAGAGAAGCUGCUAGCAGGAGAUGAUGUUUACGUCCCACGGCCAUGCACCUGUACGUUUAUACAUUCAUGUACCCGGAAGGGAGAGGAUAAACUUUUCAUGGUCCGCCAGCUUUACGCAGCCUUCGUAGGAUGUCACUGCCCCAUCGAUUCUCGAAGAUGCGCCCUCUUCCCUUCCACAGACUUCUGAGGCCUCCUUCGAUGCAGCGUGAAGGGCCCAGAAGUGAACUGGCCGGGACUGUCCGAGUCAGAAGGUGUUCCCGGAUCACCGAGGUGCCAAGACCAGACGAAAGGCUUCUGCGCUCACCAAGAAUGCAGGGCACGUCCUGUUCACCGCUGGGGAGUGCCCGCUUUGGUGACGAGAACAGCCCAGCAGGAAUUCCAGACAUCCUCCUAACCAGGGCUGACUGAGUCUGAGUCUGGCCAGGCAGGAAAGAAUGUCUUGGCUCAAGAAGGGAAGUGGUCAGAACGCUGGGUCGAGCCCAGUUUUCUUUUGGGGGAUGGGGCGUCCUUGCCACUGGACCAAAGCAGUGUUUAUGCUCAGGAAGCCAGGAGGAGGUUUCUACCGUGUGUUUGCUUUUCUUCAGCUCAGACGUGGAGGAGAGCCAGGACAGGGUCCACUUUGAAUGGCGCUGCACAUGCAUCUGACUCGAUUGGCUCAUAAUGCUCUAUAUCGGGCCCGGGGAGACGCAUUCCCCACCCUCACCAGCGUGCAGAAGGAAAACGACACGUUUAACAAGCUGCCGGGCCUUUAGAACUAAAAUGGAAUACAAAAACGGGUACGAAAGGAAGACAAAAAUAAAUAAGUAAAAGACA